rnacentral:rRNA from 1 species
GACGAACGCUGGCGGCGUGCUUAACACAUGCAAGUCGAACGGAAAGGCCCUGCUUUUGUGGGGUGCUCGAGUGGCGAACGGGUGAGUAACACGUGAGUAACCUGCCCUUGACUUUGGGAUAACUUCAGGAAACUGGGGCUAAUACCGGAUAGGAGCUCCUGCUGCAUGGUGGGGGUUGGAAAGUUUCGGCGGUUGGGGAUGGACUCGCGGCUUAUCAGCUUGUUGGUGGGGUAGUGGCUUACCAAGGCUUUGACGGGUAGCCGGCCUGAGAGGGUGACCGGCCACAUUGGGACUGCGAUACGGCCCAGACUCCUACGGGAGGCAGCAGUGGGGAAUAUUGCCCAAUGGGCGGAAGCCUGAUGCAGCAACGCCGCGUGCGGGAUGACGGCCUUCGGGUUGUGAACCGCUUUCGCCUGUGACGAAGCGUGAGUGACGGUAAUGGGUAAAGAAGCACCGGCUAACUACGUG